rnacentral:misc_RNA from 1 species
ACAGGGUUCUAUCUUUGGCAUUACUUAAUGUUACUGGUGGAGGUUUUGAAUGUUUUCCAAAGCUUGAUCGCCAAACAGUGUCAAUUGCAAUCCGUUUCUUAAAGGCAAAGACUCCUGAGCAAAGGGCAGCAGUUGACUUAGAUACCCAUUACACAAAGGAAUUUCUUGAGGAAUAUGUUGGGUGUAAGACGAGAAGAGCAAUUUUAUAUCAAGAAUAUGUAAAAGGCAUAUCAUCAACUGGGAUGCAGUCUAACUAUGGGUUUGAAGGUCAAAUCAAUGCUUGUUGGACACAUAAGAUGACACAAAUGGAAAUUGAAGUUAUCCGCUCUGCUGGAUUUCUUGUAUCUGUGAUACAUGGCAGGCAUGAUAUCAUUGCUCAAAUAUACUACGCCAAGAGACUUGCAGAGAAGCUGCAGCCAGUUGCUAGGAUGAUAGAUCUGCAUGGUGGUCAUUUAGUGAGUCAUGAGAGGACUAAGGAGGUCAAUCAAGCUCUUCAUGAAUUGAUAAAGGCAUCUGAAUCGAAGGUUAGCCCACACGAUUGGACUAAUUUGCCCCAGAAAAAAUCUGCCACUUUGAGAUUGACAUGGACGUCACUUACUACGACAAGUACAGAUCGGCCAACAUUUAGCAUAGCUGAAAAGAUACAUAUAUGCCUAUUAUAUAUUUGUAGUCUCUUUGUGUUGGUAUUUGAGCGUGCACGAAAGGUUCAAAGGAGUCUGAGACCAUCUAGAGUUGAGGCUUCACUUACAUAAGCUAAUUGUCAAUGAACCUAAUUUUUACAGGGUUUAUUGAUUUGUCAUCCUAAUACAGCGGCAAUAAAUGAUAAUGUGAGUUGCACUUGGUGGUGCAUUGUAUUCAGAAUAAGUUUUGAUAGGCAGGGCACACGCAUAUACAAUAGCAUAUAAUUGACAUUCGUAAUUAGAGAGAUCUGAAGUUCCUACCGAUGAACAUUUGAAGUUGCCUGGACACUAGCAACUAUGAUUUUAACAAUUUAUGUAUGUUUCCGACAAAAAUGGGGGAA